AUUGAACGCUGGCGGCAGGCUUAACACAUGCAAGUCGAGCGGAGAUGAGGUGCUUGCACCUUAUCUUAGCGGCGGACGGGUGAGUAAUGCUUAGGAAUCUGCCUAUUAGUGGGGGACAACAUUCCGAAAGGAAUGCUAAUACCGCAUACGUCCUACGGGAGAAAGCAGGGGAUCUUCGGACCUUGCGCUAAUAGAUGAGCCUAAGUCGGAUUAGCUAGUUGGUGGGGUAAAGGCCUACCAAGGCGACGAUCUGUAGCGGGUCUGAGAGGAUGAUCCGCCACACUGGGACUGAGACACGGCCCAGACUCCUACGGGAGGCAGCAGUGGGGAAUAUUGGACAAUGGGGGGAACCCUGAUCCAGCCAUGCCGCGUGUGUGAAGAGGGCCUUAUGGUUGUAAAGCACUUUAAGCGAGGAGGAGGCUACUGAGACUAAUACUCUUGGAUAGUGGACGUUACUCGCAGAAUAAGCACCGGCUAACUCUGUGCCAGCCGCCGCCGCAGUAA
rnacentral:rRNA from 1 species